CGGCCGCGGUAUCCUGACCGUGCAAAGGUAGCAUAAUCAUUUGUUCCUUAAUUAGGGACUUGUAUGAAUGGCCCCACGAGGGUUUGACUGUCUCUUACUUUYAAUCAGUGAAAUUGACCUCCCCGUGAAGAGGCGGGGAUAUGAAAAUAAGACGAGAAGACCCUAUGGAGCUUAAAUUAAUAUGUUCUGRRCAUAAAAUUUUGGUUGGGGUGACCUCGGAGAAUAAASRARCCUCCGAACCRAGACUAACCCGUCAAAGUCAAUCCUAUUGAUCAACGAAACAAGUUACCCUAGGGAUAACAGCGCAAUCCUAUUUGAGAGUUCAUAUCGACAAUAGGGUUUACGACCUCGAUGUUGGAUCAGGACACCCCAAUGGUGCAGCAGCU
rnacentral:rRNA from 1 species